rnacentral:misc_RNA from 1 species
GAUGAAGAACGUAGUGAAAUGCGAUAAGUAAUGUGAAUUGCAGAAUUCAGUGAGUCAUCGAAUCUUUGAACGCACAUUGCGCCCUGUGGUAUUCCGCAGGGCAUGCCUGUUCGAGCGUCAUUUCAACCCUCAAGCCCCGCUUGGUGUUGGGCCCCGCCCGCCGUGGCCGGCCCUAAAGACAGUGGCGGCGCCGCCUGGCCCUCAGCGUAGUACAGCUCUCGCUCCAGGGUCCGGCGGCCGCCUGCCAGAACCCCCCAACUCUGUGGUUGACCUCGGAUCAGGUAGGGAUACCCGCUGAACUUAAGCAUAUCAAUAAGCGGAGGA